ensembl:miRNA
CGCCUUCCACCGCAGUGCCUGACGGGAGGCGGAGCGGCGAACGAGGCCGUCGGCCAUUUUGUGUCUGCUUCCUGUGGGACGCCGUGGUAGCCGU